rnacentral:rRNA from 1 species
GACAAACGCUGGCGGGGGUGCAUGAGACAUGCAAGUCGAACGGGGUGCCAUCGGGCUUGCUCGAUGGUUAUCUAGUGGCGGACGGCUGAGUAACGCGUAGGUGACCUACCCGGAAGUGGGGAAUAACUGCCCGAAAGGGUGGCUAAUACCGCAUGUGGUCGGCGAUUCGAUUCGCCGUCCAAAGGAGUAAUCCGCUUCCGGCGGGGCCUGCGUCCGAUUAGCUAGUUGGUGGGGUAACGGCUCACCAAGGCGACGAUCGGUAGCUGGUCUGAGAGGAUGAUCAGCCAGACUGGGACUGAGAACGGCCCAGACUCCUACGGGAGGCAGCAGUCGGGAAUUUUGCCCAAUGGACGAAAGUCUGAGGCAGCAACUCCGCGUGAGGGAUGAAGGCUCUCGGGUCGUAAACCUCUUUUCUCAGGGAAGAUCCAAGACGGUACCUGA